UACACUCCUGCGGGAGGCAGCAGUGGGGAAUUUUGGACAAUGGGCGAAAGCCUGAUCCAGCAAUGCCGCGUGAGUGAAGAAGGCCUUCGGGUUGUAAAGCUCUUUUGUCAGGGAAGAAACGGUGAAAGCUAAUAUCUUUUGCUAAUGACGGUACCUGAAGAAUAAGCACCGGCUAACUACGUGCCAGCAGCCGCGGUAAUACGUAGGGUGCAAGCGUUAAUCGGAAUUACUGGGCGUAAAGCGUGCGCAGGCGGUUUUGUAAGUCUGAUGUGAAAUCCCCGGGCUCAACCUGGGAAUUGCAUUGGAGACUGCAAGGCUAGAAUCUGGCAGAGGGGGGUAGAAUUCCACGUGUAGCAGUGAAAUGCGUAGAUAUGUGGAGGAACACCGAUGGCGAAGGCAGCCCCCUGGGUCAAGAUUGACGCUCAUGCACGAAAGCGUGGGGAGCAAACAGGAUUAGAAACCCUUGUAGUCCC
rnacentral:rRNA from 1 species